UACGGAGGGUGCAAGCGUUGCUCGGAAUCAUUGGGCGUAAAGGGCGCGUAGGCGGGCGCGUAAGUCGAUUGUGAAAGCCCUGGGCUUAACCCGGGAACUGCAGUCGAUACUGCGUGUCUUGAGUGCUUGAGAGGGUACUGGAAUUCCUGGUGUAGAAGUGAAAUUCGUAGAUAUCAGGAGGAACACCGGAGGCGAAGGCGGGUACCUGGCGAGCAACUGACGCUGAGGCGCGAAAGUGCGGGGAGCAAACAGG
rnacentral:rRNA from 1 species